rnacentral:lncRNA from 1 species
UUAGAGACCAAAAUUAAUUAUACUUAAUUCCACUUUAUUUUUUGGGGCAAUUGUUUAUAUAUCUCUGAAAAUUUUCUGACUUUUUAAUUUACUCCUUUUGAAAGGCUAAUAUUGAAAAUACCUUUUUUACGUUCCAAUCUAUUUCUAAUAUACCCCUAGAGUUAAAAUCAUAUACCCCGAAUUAAAAUAUGUUAAUGAACUCUAUUAUUUCUGUGAAAUUACUAUUUACUAUUUUGUCCUUUCAAAUAUACCCUUCUACCAUCACUGACUUUUUCUUAUUUGCCCUUAAGUUAGGGGCACAAAAAGAUUUUGCUUUUUGAUUUUUUCAAAUAUACCCUUCUACCAUCACUAAUAUUUCUUACUUGCCUUUAAGUUAAGGACAAAAGCAAUAUUUUAAUUUUUUUUAACUGUGGUAGAUAUUUAACUCGCGUUUAACGCAAGUUAACUUAACGGGUGGUAACUGCAGGAAUAUUUUGGAAUAAUGGAGUAACAGUAUAUUAGGGGUAUAUUGGAAAGAAAAAAAAAAAAGAGAUAAAUGAGAUAUUUUUGAAAUUUUGAGAAAUAUAUAAACAAUUAUAUAUGGGACAAGUUUCACAAUAAGUUCAGUUACCAACGGCAUGACUUGUUCUAGCUAGUAUUUUUUGAGUCAGAAAAUUUGUUGGGGAAAAUG